AUGGCCGAGUCCCCUGAGGCCAGUGAUGCCUCCAUCGUGGGCUUGGUCGUCUGCCUCGGGUCCUCUCCUCGCUCCCCCGUUCCCACCGGGCCGUCGCUCCGCCGCUCUCCCGUUCCAUCGUCGCGUCCUGACCCGCCCUCUCUUCUCGCCGAGGUGGAGGUGACAUCCCCGGCUCCCUCCCCUGGCGCUGUGGUCGCCACCGCUCCGUCGGGCCCCAUCUGCGACCCGCUGCCAGCGUUGGGCCUCAGCGCUGCCGAGGCGACUCCGACUGUCACCGCUCGCCCGCGCCCCCCCUCGUGGCCGCCUCCGGUCGCGGCUCCCCCUCAGCUCGGGGUUCCUCUCGUGGACCCGGCUCCGCUCAUUGUCUCCCCUGCACCACCCCUGCCGAGCCCGCCUCCGACUCCGAUGCCCCCUGGAUGUGGGCUCCCUCCCGCGGUAGUCCUCGGCACGGAUGUGGGGACUCGGACACCAUGCGCACGGAAUUCUCCCUCCCCGAGCUCGACCGUCUUAGCCCCCACCUGGAGCUCGGGGCAUUCCGGUGGCAUGCUGUUAGGAGUGAAGGAUGCCACCUUUGAGGUUGGCGGUAUGGACCAGGGACAAUUCUUUGUUAGCAUGGAACUUUAUGAAUGCUCCCUCAACUUCAAGUGGGAGGUUAUUGUUGUUUACGGCCCCGCCGACCAUAGCUGGCCCGCUUCCUUCCUUGAGGAGAUCCACCGGAAGGUCUCGGCUGCUUCGCUUCUGGUGGUGGUUGGGGGCGAUUUUAACCUCAUGCGUUUCUCGGAGGACAAGAGCAAUUCGCACGUCAACUUUGCGCGUAUGCAAAUGUUCAACGACUGCAUUGCUGACCUUGGGCUCCGCGAAAAAGAUAGGGUUAGUGCCAGGUUCACCUGGACCAACCCCCAGGCCGCUCCGACUCAGUCCGUCUUGGACCGGGUCCUAGUUUCCCCGGAAAGGGACCUCCGCUGCUCUCUUGCUUCCCUCCGGGCCAUCACUCGGAUCGGUUCCGACCACGUUCCCCUCCUCCUCUCUUCCGCUGACGAGCAUCCCCCGAUUCCUCCUCGAUUCCAGUUUGAGACAUUUUGGUCGUCCCAACCCGGCUUCGUCAAGGUCGUGGCCGCUCGCUGGGUGGAGGCUCGCGUCCAUUCCCAGUCCUUGUCUCGCCCCCCCUCCGCCAUCGACUCGUGGCAUCUCUGUGCCAAGCGCGGCAGACAGUUCAUGAAGGGGUGGGGCGCCAACUUGGGUCACUACCUCCGCAAGCGGAAGAAGGCCCAUCUGUCUGCUAUUCAGGCCCUCGACCUGCGCGCCGACGCCACCGGCCUUUCUCCUAAGGAGUGGCUUUCCCGGUAUGACCUGGAAGACCAACUCUCGAUCAUCUACUCCGACAAGGAAGCUUACUGGCGUGUGCGCGGGGCUCAGAAAUGGGUAUUGAAGGGUGACACCAAUACGGCGUACUUUCAGGCCAUCGCGAAUGUUCUCCUACGGAAAGGUUUUGAUGACCGGUGGAUCUCCAGGGUGAUGCAGAUGGUCUCCUGUGGCCGCACUGCCGUGAACAUCAAUGGGGAGAUUGGCCCCUACUUCCCCACUCUCUGUGGGGUGAGGCAGGGUGACCCUUUCUCCCCAUUCCUGUUCAAUAUGGUGGUGGACGCACUGGCUACCAUCCCGGACAAGGCUAAGGCGGCGGGCCAUAUUCGUGGGCUCCCGCCCCACUUGGCCGGUGGCACCGGCAUCUUCCUGCUCCAGUACGCUGACGAUACCAUCAUCAUGGUCGAAGGGUCGAACGUGGACAUCGCUAACCUUAAGUUCCUCCUCCUCUGCUUCCAACAAAUGUCUGGACUCAAGAUCAACUUCGACAAGAGUGAUGUGAUGGUGAUGGGCUACUCUCCGUUGCUGAUCUUCCAGGAGGCGCCGCGCGGGAGCACGGUUGGGAGCAGGGGAGGAGAUGUGCCGCGGGAUUCAUCUGUGGCUCCGCACAACAACUGCGUGGAUUACGACGGCGAUGGGAGCAUGGAGAAUGGCCCAGCGGAGUCGGGGGAGUCGGCCGUCAAGCCGGCUCCACGGUCGCCGGACUGGAUGAAGAGGUUGCUGAUCUUCCAGGAGGCGCCGCGCGGGAGCGCGGUUGGGAGCAGGGGAGGAGAUGUGCUGCGGGAUUCAUCUGUGGCUCCGCACAACAACUGCGUGGAGUACGACGGCGAUGGGAGCAUGGAGAAUGGCCCAGCGGAGUCGGGGGAGUCGGCCAUCAAGCCGGCUCCACGGUCGCCGGACUGGAUGAAGAGGUUGCUGAUCUUCCAGGAGGCGCCGCGCGGGAGCGCGGUUGGGAGCAGGGGAGGAGAUGUGCUGCGGGAUUCAUCCGUGGCUCCGCACAACAACUGCGUGGAGUACGACGGCGAUGGGAGCAUGGAGAAUGGCCCAGCGGAGUCGGGGAAGUCGGCCGUCAAGCCGGCUCCACGGUCGCCGGACUGGAUGAAGAGGUUGCUGAUCUUCCAGGAGGCGCCGCGCGGGAGCGCGGUUGGGAGCAGGGGAGGAGAUGUGCUGCGGGAUUCAUCUGUGGCUCCACACAACAACUGCGUGGAGUACGACGGCGAUGGGAGCAUGGAGAAUGGCCCAGCGUAG
rnacentral:rRNA from 1 species